rnacentral:tRNA from 3 species
GCGGGGGUGGCCGAGUCUGGCCAAAGGCGCAGGAUUGAGGGUCCUGUUCCUAAGUGGAUGCGAGGGUUCAAAUCCCUUCCCCCGCA